CAGGCCUAACACAUGCAAGUCGAACGGUAGCACAGAAGAGCUUGCUCUUCGGGUGACGAGUGGCGGACGGGUGAGUAAUGCCUGGGAAACUGCCCGAUGGAGGGGGAUAACUACUGGAAACGGUAGCUAAUACCGCAUAACGUCUUCGGACCAAAGUGGGGGACCUUCGGGCCUCACACCAUCGGAUGUGCCCAGGUGGGAUUAGCUAGUAGGUGGGGUAACGGCUCACCUAGGCGACGAUCCCUAGCUGGUCUGAGAGGAUGACCAGCCACACUGGAGCUGAGACACGGUCCAGACUCCUACGGGAGGCAGCAGUGGGGAAUAUUGCACAAUGGGCGCAAGCCUGAUGCAGCCAUGCCGCGUGUAUGAAGAAGGCCUUCGGGUUGUAAAGUACUUUCAGUGGGGAGGAAGG
rnacentral:rRNA from 1 species